GGCCAGCCUGGUUUACAUAGAGAGUUCCAGGGGAGCCAGGGCUACAUAAUAAAACCCUGCAACCAAGCAAACCUAACCAUUGCUUAGGAUCCUUGGGUGUUCUGAAACUUACUGUAUAUUAACCAGGCUGGCCUCAGCUUAUAAUGAGCUCCUGACUGCGUCUGCCUCCAAAGGGCUAGAAUUACAGACACACUAACAACUGGCUACUCCUCUUCCUCUUCCUCCUGCUACUCCCCUCCUUCCUCCUCCUUUUAAUCUUGUGACAGGUUUCCCUCUCUUCCUCUGGCUAUGUAGCCAGGCAGCUCUUGAAUUUGUAAUAUUCUCACCUCAGCCUUCCGAGCAGCUGAGAUUUCAGGUCUAUACCGCCAUGCUGGGUUUCCUUCUCAUUUCUAAGUGUGUCCAGGCAAUGGUGGCACAGUCCCAGCCCAGAAGGCUGCGGCCGGAAGACUGUCGGAGGUCAGCCUGGGCUACAUGGUGAAUAUCAGACUAGCACAGUAAGAUUCUGUCUCUAAAGAGAACAACAAGAAACCUCACAGAAUACGUAAGUAUCUUGUCUGGGCUUUCACACGACAGAGAGAGUUCUGAACAGCUGGAGGGUUGACUGACAGGGUAGAUAGAUGCAGGAAGAGGGUGAACAGCUCCAUUCCGGUAGCCCACGAUCCAGCAGACUACACCAUGUAGUAUGCUUGUGCACAUGAACAUGCGUGCACCCGCACACACGCACACAAACACGCACACAAGCAAGUGGGGGGAGAGGGGGUGUGUAAGGUGAAGGGGUCUCCAGGUAACAGCUCUAAGUGACAAUACCAGUGUGAGAUCAGUGAACUGAAAAAGAAAAUCAUAUCCAGAAUAAGGGUCUUUCCCAGUGAAGUCAGCUCAUUGCUGGCUCCCCGAGGUAUGGGAUGGGGCCACGUUGCAGACCAGGUGGAGAGCUCCGGUCCUGUCAUGUGGCUUUGAGCCUGAGCCAACCACCCAGGCAGACUCGUCUGUCCCCUGGCUCUACUUCUCAUACUUCUGCCAACUUGCUUUUAGGGACCUUCUCAUAAAACUGUUACUGCAGGUGGAAGGACCAGGAGGGGGAGCGGGAAAGCAAAUGCACUCAGAGGGACGCUGCCCGUGCCAUGAAAUGAAGAUGUGCCCAAGAGAACUCUUCUGGGUAUGACAGAGUCUAAUGGAGCCAAACUGGCCUAGGACUUACAGAUUACAUUGUACUUCACACAAUGGGGUGAUGAGAAGCAGCGAUAUAGGCUCGGUCACAGGGAACCGUCGGUAGGAUCCAGUAUCUAGAGAGAAAACAACAAGCAUGCUGGGAAACCAACAACUCAUUAAGCAAAACAUAUGGAAGACAGGAGGGACAUAAUUUUCUUAGAAUUCCCAAAUACAGGAAGUCUCAGUGUUCCCAUGGCGGCACCUGUACCAAUUCCAAAAUUGGUUCCUGUGCGAGGAAGACUUGUGAAUGGUACUGCAUUAUAAGAAGAAAAAGAAUUCUUGGGUCAGAUGCCUGCAAUUCAGCACUAAAGAGACUAAGGAGAGAAGGUUGCUGUGAGUUCAAGGGCAUC
rnacentral:sRNA from 1 species